rnacentral:rRNA from 1 species
UACCCGCUGGAACUUAAGCAUAUCAAUAAGCGGAGGAAAAGAAACCAACCGGGAUUACCUCAGUAACGGCGAGUGAAGCGGUAACAGCUCAAAUUUGAAAUCUGGCUCCUCUGGAGUCCGAAUUGUAAUUUGUAGAAGAUGCUUUGGGUUGUGGGUUCGGCCUAAGUUCCUUGGAACAGGACGUCAUAGAGGGUGAGAAUCCCGUAUGUGGCCGAGGCCCGCGCCUAUGUAAAGCUCUUUCAACGAGUCGAGUUGUUUGGGAAUGCAGCUCAAAAUGGGUGGUAAAUUUCAUCUAAAGCUAAAUAUGGGCCAGAGACCGAUAGCGCACAAGUAGAGUGAUCGAAAGAUGAAAAGCACUUUGGAAAGAGAGUUAAACAGUACGUGAAAUUGUUGAAAGGGAAGCGCUUGCACCCAGACUUGGGCGCUGCCGAUCACCUUGAGGUCUCCUCGAGUGCACUCGACAGCGCACAGGCCAGCAUCGGUUCGGGUGGCUGGAUAAAGGCCGUAGGAACGUAGCUCUCUUCGGGGAGUGUUAUAGCCUACGGUGCCAUGCAGCCCAGCCGGACCGAGGACCGCGCCUUCGGGCUAGGAUGCUGGCGUAAUGGGUGUAAGCGACCCGUCUUGAAACACGGACCAAGGA